rnacentral:rRNA from 1 species
AUUGAACGCUGGCGGCAGGCCUAACACAUGCAAGUCGAGCGAGCGGCGGACGGGUGAGUAAUGUCUGGGAAACUGCCUGAUGGAGGGGGAUAACUACUGGAAACGGUAGCUAAUACCGCAUACCAUCAGAUGUGCCCAGAUGGGAUUAGCUAGUAGGUGGGGUAACGGCUAACCUAGGCGACGAUCCCUAGCUGGUCUGAGAGGAUGACCAGCCACUCUGGAACUGAGACACGGUCCGGACUCCUACGGAAGGCAGCAGUGGUGAAUUUUGCACAAUGGGCGCAAGCCUGAUGCAGCCAUGCCGCUUGUGUGAAGAGGGCCUUCGGGUUUUAAAGUACUUUCAUCGGGGAGGCGUUACCCGCAGAAGAAGCACCGGCUAACUCCGUGCCAGCAGCCGCGGUAAUAC